UAUUGAUUGGUGCUUGCAUCAUGAUUUACAUUUGAGUGAGUGGCGAACUGGUGAGUAACACGUGGGAAACCUGCCCAGAAGCGGGGGAUAACACCUGGAAACAGAUGCUAAUACCGCAUAACAACUUGGACCGCAUGGUCCGAGUUUGAAAGAUGGCUUCGGCUAUCACUUUUGGAUGGUCCCGCGGCGUAUUAGCUAGAUGGUGGGGUAACGGCUCACCAUGGCAAUGAUACGUAGCCGACCUGAGAGGGUAAUCGGCCACAUUGGGACUGAGACACGGCCCAAACUCCUACGGGAGGCAGCAGUAGGGAAUCUUCCACAAUGGACGAAAGUCUGAUGGAGCAACGCCGCGUGAGUGAAGAAGGGUUUCGGCUCGUAAAACUCUGUUGUUAAAGAAGAACAUAUCUGAGAGUAACUGUUCAGGUAUUGACGGUAUUUAACCAGAAAGCCACGGCUAACUACGUGCCAGCAGCCGCGGUAAUACGUAGGUGGCAAGCGUUGUCCGGAUUUAUUGGGCGUAAAGCGAGCGCAGGCGGUUUUUUAAGUCUGAUGUGAAAGCC
rnacentral:rRNA from 2 species